UACGUAGGGGGCAAGCGUUGUCCGGAAUCAUUGGGCGUAAAGAGCGUGUAGGCGGCCUGGAAAGUCUGGUGUGAAAUCUUGCGGCUCAACCGCAAGCGGUCACUGGAUACUGUCAGGCUUGAGUCUGGAAGAGGAGAGUGGAAUUCCCGGUGUAGCGGUGAAAUGCGUAGAGAUGUGGAGGAACACCGAUGGCGAAGGCAGCCCCCUGGGCCAACACUGACGCUCAGGCACGAAAGCGUGGGGAGCAAACAGG
rnacentral:rRNA from 1 species